UCGAGGAUCUUCGGCAAUGGGCGCAAGCCUGACCGAGCGACGCCGCGUGCGCGAUGAAGGCCUUCGGGUUGUAAAGCGCUGUCGAGGGGGAGGAAAGCCCGCAAGGGCCUGACCUAUCCCUGGAGGAAGCACGGGCUAAGUUCGUGCCAGCAGCCGCGGUAAGACGAACCGUGCGAACGUUGUUCGGAAUCACUGGGCUUAAAGGGCGCGUAGGCGGGCAGUCAAGUCCGGGGUGAAAUCUUUCGGCUCAACCGGAAAAGGGCCUUGGAUACUGGCUGUCUGGAGGGAGGUAGGGGCAUGCGGAACUUCCGGUGGAGCGGUGAAAUGCGUUGAUAUCGGAAGGAACGCCGGUGGCGAAAGCGGCGUGCUGGACCUCUUCUGACGCUGAGGCGCGAAAGCCAGGGGAGCGAACGGGAUUAGAUACCCCCGUAGUCC
rnacentral:rRNA from 1 species